GUCUGACUGAAAGCAACCAGAGAAUCCUAAACUGAAUCUUCGUACCUGAAAUCCUUUGCCUUCUAAUACAGAUAACCAUGUCUGGAGUUAAGGGUCAGCAAAAGAAAUGCCCAGAGCCUUGCCCACCCCAGCCAUGCAAUCCAUGCCCUCCACCACAGAAAUGCCAAGAUCCUUGCAAGGAUCCUUGCCCUAAGCCAAUCCCACAAUGCCAAGACCCAUGCCAGAGGACUCCGACUCAACAGCAGGGUCAAAACCAACCCCACCAUCACUGAAGGAUACAAUGAGAUGAGAAUCUUCUCUCAGAUGAUGCCUUCUACACUAUACUAAAUCAUACAAUGCGGCAAUAAACUCUCUACAAUCUAAAGAUGAUUUCACGAUUUCUCUAAUUAAAAAUCCUUGAGAUUUACUAAUAAAUUAUUGCAUUUUAAAAAGCA